GGGCUCGCUUCGGCAGCGCAUAUGCUAAAAUUGGAGGCCUGCAGAGAAGAGAAGCAUCGCCCUUGCCCAAGGAUGACACGCAAAUUCGUGAAGCGUUCCAUAGUAAA
rnacentral:snRNA from 1 species